rnacentral:rRNA from 1 species
CGGCGAGUGAGCGGCAAGAGCUCAAAUUUGAAAGCUGGCUCCUUCGGAGUCCGCAUUGUAAUUUGCAGAGGAUGCUUUGGGUGCGGCCCCCGUCUAAGUGCCCUGGAACGGGCCGUCAGAGAGGGUGAGAAUCCCGUCUUGGGCGGGGUGUCCGUGCCCGUGUAAAGCUCCUUCGACGAGUCGAGUUGUUUGGGAAUGCAGCUCUAAAUGGGUGGUAAAUUUCAUCUAAAGCUAAAUACUGGCCGGAGACCGAUAGCGCACAAGUAGAGUGAUCGAAAGAUGAAAAGCACUUUGAAAAGAGAGUUAAACAGCACGUGAAAUUGUUGAAAGGGAAGCGCUUGCGACCAGACUCGCCCGCGGGGUUCAGCCGGCAUUCGUGCCGGUGUACUUCCCCGUGGGCGGGCCAGCGUCGGUUUGGGCGGCCGGUCAAAGGCCCCUGGAAUGUAGUGCCCUCCGGGGCACCUUAUAGCCAGGGGUGCAAUGCGGCCAGCCUGGACCGAGGAACGCGCUUCGGCACGGACGCUGGCAUAAUGGUCGUAAACGACCCGUCUU